CCGGCAGAAGGAGGCUGGAGUCAAGGAGGGCUUGUGUUUGAUGUAUGAGCUUUGGCUUGCCAUUUUUUUGCCAGCAGAAUGGAUCGAGGCAUGAUGGAUCAUUCCUGGUGGAUCAGAUGUCCUCCCCUCACCACAGCCUGCAGGCUGCAACCUGUAUCCCCACAUUUGCUCCAGAGGAUUGGAUGAAUGCCUAGAGCACAUCUUGGGUAUGGAUACGGGGAGAGGG
rnacentral:lncRNA from 11 species